rnacentral:rRNA from 1 species
UACGUAGGGGGCAAGCGUUGUCCGGAAUUAUUGGGCGUAAAGAGCGCGUAGGCGGUCCGGUAAGUCGGUUGUGAAAGUCGGGGGCUCAACCCUCGGAUGCCGAUCGAUACUGUCGGGCUAGAGUCCGGAAGAGGCGAGUGGAAUUCCUGGUGUAGCGGUGAAAUGCGCAGAUAUCGGGAGGAACACCGGUGGCGAAGGCGGUUCUCUGGGCCUUACCUGACGCUGAGGAGCGAAAGCGUGGGGAGCGAACAGG